CUCUCUCCCACUUUAAUGUUUAGACUGGAGGAAGCCGCGCUUGAAAAUCAGGACUGGAGCUGAGGGUGGAGCUACACGGUGGCAUAACAUGCCACCCCAAGGACUUGAAUGAUAACCAGGACAUUUUGUAACAACAUCUUAUCCAAGGCGGCUCCACUCAUUCUGUGUGACUGCGGCUGCUGCAGGGGAAGCCAGAGGCUGCUGAGGAGCAGGAGAAGGAGGAGGAUGCUGGAGCUGUGUGUGCAUGGGAGAGCGUGGGCCCUGCGCUCCUCUCAGCGGGCCAACAAAAGGUAAGAAAAUGGUCCAGUGCCAUGGUAAUUAGACGUGAAUGAGCUUUGAGCAACAUGACAUGUCUCGGGCCUUUCUCUGCAGCGAAGGAAUUUCAACAUCCAGCUUGGUAAAAAUUGGACUGGACUUUGGGGGUGGGCGGGGAUGUGGCCGUGCACUUUUGAGCACCUGAAUUACAUUGUUAUUUUAAUUUAUAUGCAGUGUUUAAUGACCCCUCUGGCUCGUGAAGGUACACAAGCCCGAACAUCUUUGUGUGGCCAUGAAAAAAGGGCUGAAAUACAUAUUCAUAGGGGAGUCAAUCACUCAGGCAGAAAAUGCAACAAUUCCUAAUAGUCAGCAAUUCUCACUGUUCCUGCUGACUAACAUCACAUUGACCUUUCACUCUCAUAAUGCAGGCUGUUCCAACAUUGCCCCAAUAUUACCCUAAGAAAACACAUGGACUCUGCAUCUCAAUGGGCCUGUAUGCCCAUUCUCCAGCCUCACAUUAGCAUUCAGAGUA